CGCAAUCACUUGUUCUUUAAAUGAGGACUAGUAUGAAUGGCAUCACGAGGGUUAUACUGUCUCCCCCUUUUAAUCAGUGAAACUGAUCUUCCCGUGAAGAAGCGGGAAUAUAUCUAUAAGACGAGAAGACCCCAUGGAGCUUAAAACUCAGUAUCAGCUGCCCUCUAAUAUAUCCUCUUAAUUAGGCAGACUUGACUACUAGUUUUCGGUUGGGGUGACCGCGGAGCAAAACAAAACCUCCACGAUGAAAGGAACUAACUUCCUAAUCAAAGAACCACAUUUCUAUGAAUCAACAAAUUGACAUUUAUUGAUCCAAUUUUUUUGAUCAACGAACCAAGUUACCCUGGGGAUAACAGCGCAAUCCAUUUCAAGAGCCCCUAUCGACAAAUGGGUUUACGACCUCGAUGUUGGAUCAGGGUAUCCCAGUGGUGCAGCCGCUACUAAAGGUUCGUUUGUUCAACGAUUAAAACCCU
rnacentral:rRNA from 1 species